rnacentral:rRNA from 1 species
CUACGGGAUGCUCCAGUGGGGAAUAUUGCACAAUGGAGGAAACUCUGAUGCAGCAACGCCGCGUGGAGGAUGACACUUUUCGGAGCGUAAACUCCUUUUAUAUAGGAAGAAGAUGACGGUACUAUAUGAAUAAGCGCCGGCUAACUCCGUGCCAGCAGCCGCGGUAAUACGGAGGGCGCAAGCGUUACUCGGAAUCACUGGGCGUAAAGAGCGUGUAGGCGGAUUAAAAAGUCAGAAGUGAAAUCCUAUAGCUUAACUAUAGAACUGCUUCUGAAACUCUUAAUCUAGAAUGUGGGAGAGGUAGAUGGAAUUUCUGGUGUAGGGGUAAAAUCCGUAGAGAUCAGAAGGAAUACCGAUUGCGAAGGCGAUCUACUAGAACAUUAUUGACGCUGGGACGCGAAAGCGUGGGGAGCAAACAGGAUUAGAUACCCUAGUAGUC